AUGCCAGCAGUUUGGAAAACUCAGUGGCCACAGGACUGGAAAAGGUCAGUUUUCAUUCAAAUCCCAAAGAAAGGCAAUGCCAAAGAAGGCUCAAACUACCGCACAAUUGCACUCAUUUCACAUGCUAGUAAAGUAAUGCUCAAAAUUCUCCAAGCCAGGCUUCAACAAUAUGUGAACUGUGAACUUCCUGAUGUUCAAGCUGGUUUUAGAAAAGUCAGAGGAACCAGAGAUCAAAUUGCCAACAUCUGCUGGAUCAUGGAAAAAGCAAGAGAGUUCCAGAAAAACAUCUAUUUCUGCUUUAUUGACUAUGCCAAAGCCUUUGACUGUGUGGAUCACAAUAAACUGUGGAAAAUUCUUCAAGACAUGGGAAUACCGGACCACCUGACCUGGCUCUUGAGAAAUCUGUAUGCAGAUCAGGAAGCAACAGUUAGAACUGGACAUGGAACAACAGACUGGUUCCAAAUAGGAAAAGGAGUACAUCAAGGCUGUAUAUUGUCACCCUGCUUAUUUAACUUCUAUGCAGAGUACAUCAUGAGAAACGCUGGACUGGAAGAAACACAAGCUGGAAUCAAGAUUGCCAGGAGAAAUAUCAAUAACCUCAGAUGUGCAGAUGAUACCACCCUUAUGGCAGAAAGUGAAGAGGAGCUAAAAAGCCUCUUGAUAAAAGUGAAAGAGGAGAGUAAAAAAGUUGGCUUAAAGCUCAGCAUUCAGAAAAUGAAGAUCAUGGCAUCAGGUCCCAUCACUUCAUGGGAAAUAGAUGGGGAAACAGUGGAAACAGUGGCUGACUUUAUUUUUUCGGGUUCCAAAAUCACUGCAGAUGGUGACUACAGCCAUGAAAUUAAAAGACGCUUACUCCUUGGAAGAAAAGUUAUGACCAACCUAGAUAGCAUAUUCAAAAGAAGAGACAUUACUUUGCCAACUAAGGUCCGUCUAGUCAAGGCUAUGGUUUUUCCAGUAGUCAUGUAUGGAUGUGAGAGUUGGACUGUGAAGAAAGCUGAGCACUGA
rnacentral:lncRNA from 1 species